CAUCUGCAUCACAGCUAUCGAAUUCCACAUCGGGCAACUUGCUAUGACGAAUGAAAUUGUGCAAGGCAAUGCAAGCUAGAAUGAUCCUCGUUUGUGCUCGAGGCUUGAAACUUGGCAUAGAUUUUAAUAUGCGCCACUUUUGCUUAAGAAUCGCCGAUGAACGCUCAAUGACAUUGCGAAGGGAUGAGUGCAAGAAGUUGAAUAUCUCAUCCCUCCUUUGAAGUGCACGGCCAGGACGAAGACGGAACUCCGGUAGAUGGAUAUAUGCAGACUGCAGAGGGGAUUCACAAAUAUGAUGAUACAAACUCAGAGUCGGCAAAGGAGAUACGAGAAGAAGUCAUUACGAAUGAUUUAAAAAUAUGCAAGAAGUGUUGCAGAAUCAGGAACGAUCAAGUGAAAUAACUGGCAUAUAUGAAGUAGAAGAAACGAAUAGAAUCGAGGGCCUGGAAUAUUCCGUGCUGACAAACUCGAAUUUCUUAUUAUUAGAUAAAUGGUAUUCAUUGCAAUCAACAUGAAGACUGCCAUUUGUUCCUAUCGGUUAUACACUCCAGGAAACGAUGGGUUCAAGACUCGCUAGGCAUGGGAAUGUCCUGCGGGGACCUCUCUUCUACUGUGAGUAAUCAGUCAAUCGAAGCAUGCUGUAAGUUGAGACUCAGGUCUGUGAUGUAGUUUGUUCUCUCAAUUCUGCUAAAUGAAACGACAGUGCACCUGUCAUUCCUGUCAAAAAAAGCAACUGCUUGGACUAUGAUUGUCCUGGAAAUAUCCUACGACUUGCACACCAGAAGUUCAAGAGGAGGUACUUGAGGGUCUUUGCCCACUGGAGGAUCUUCAAAGUAACGGACACCCGUAGCUACCAAAGUCAGAGGUACCCAAAUUGAGGUACCCAAAUUGGAUGAUGGAUGAGCAGAACGGCGGCCAGCAGCUUGAGAGGAAACAUAAUUUUUAUACUACAUCAGAGGCUGCUACAUCGUCUACCAGUAUUGGCGAAAUAAAAUCAGGCGGACGAACCAAUCACACAAAACAUCGAGAUCUUUGCGUCCGUAUUGAGUUGAACCACACGCCUGGAUGUGGUAUUUGAUGGAUGGCACUCUUCUAUUUGACUAGUUCCACGCCUCGGAAAAAUUUGCAACCAAACGGUUGAUAGCCAUAGCAGCUUAUAACAGGUUAUCGUGGUCAUCUUUUGAAUUCUAUCAGUGUACCUACUGAAUAUGCCAACCUUCGUCAGCCAAAAUUCUCUGCUAGUUGAUUUUGAGAUGAUCAGAUGCACACCUUUACCUUCUUUUUAUGGAGUUAUUUAAUAAUUU